CGCGGUUCCCGGCCUCCACGAGGCCUCUGAUUGGUCAGCACUGCUGUCACUUCUCUAACGGGCGUUGUGGGGGGCGGGGGGCGGGAGGCGGGUGUGGUGGGAGGGCCCGCAGCUUCCGUGGCUGAGAGGAGCCGGCCGCUGCUGUGUCUGUGGUGUCCGCGGCGGCGGCGAGAGCGACUGUCCCAUCCUUCCCACCCUCUCAGCUCCGCUCGCUGCAUGCCCUCCGCUCGCGCCGACUUCUCCGCAGCUCUGCGCGUCCCAGGUGGACGUUGAGCCUUGGGAGGAGACGCGCGCGGUGAGAGCCGGAGCGGGGACCGCCGUAGAGCCCGGGCCGGGAGGAGAGCGAGGCGUGAUCGAAGGGUAUGGUUGGCAUGGAAUUGAAUUUCAUCUGUCUGUGGGAAUUGUAAAAAAAGUGGUCUGGAAUCCAACCUGCAAUAGCUUCGAGGUAUGGUUGUAUUCAUGUCCCAUUGGCUUGAACUCAUGGCCACAUCUGGCUACAGGAGAGGCUGGGAAGUGCAAUCUGCAUUGUGGCAUGCACUUAGCUAAAGUUAUGGUGUUCUGUUACUGAGGAAGAAAGAGAAAGUGGAUAUUGGGCAAAACCUCCAGUGCUUCGCAUAGUGAUCCAGGUGAGGUUCUUUUGCUUUCUGCUUAUCGAUCGUCUCUGGUAUUUAAAAACACUCCUAAUUCUCUUUCUGUUGUAUUCUCUCUUUCAUAUCAUUUAAAACUUCCCAGUUACUACAUUCGGAUGCUUUCUUUUCUUUUAGAUAUAGAUCACGAGUGUGCUUCCUUUGUCCUUCAUUGAUUUAGAACCUUUCCAUUUUUUUUUUUUGAACCUUUCCAUUUUAAGAUAUGCCACCAAGACGUUAGAAUAUUUCCAUGCUGGUGUGCACUUACCUUUUCUUUCUUUCUUUCUUUUUUUUUUUUGGUUAUACACAUCAUGCUUAUUGCCUGCACAGAUGCCUACAAAAUGCG
rnacentral:lncRNA from 1 species